rnacentral:rRNA from 1 species
CUUGUAGGCGGCUUGUCGCGUCUGCCGUGAAAUCCUCUGGCUUAACUGGGGGCGUGCGGUGGGUACGGGCUGGCUUGAGUGCGGUAGGGGAGACUGGAAUUCCUGGUGUAGCGGUGGAAUACGCAGAUAUCAGGAGGAACACCGGUGGCGAAGGCGGGUCUCUGGGCCGUUACUGACGCUGAGGAGCGAAAGCAUGGGGAGCGAACA